GGGAGACUUGCUGACUCACAGUCAGCCUGUGGGGCAGCACUUCCCCUUUCUUUAAUUCUUGAAGAAACAAGUAUGAUGCUCCCAGGAGAGCGGACAAGCUAACCAUGCCACAGACCUCUGGACUCUACUUCCUUCCUUAGAGUCAGGAACUAAGAGGAAAAUAUUCAGCUUGGUUUUCUGGAAUGAGAAAUACAGAGUUGAGACUGCAUCAAGACAAACGCAGUUAUGUAAAUAAUGUAGGUGGAAAACUGAAGAAGAGAUGAGGAGCCAUCACAGUUUCCUAAUCGAUUUAUUUGCUUCCAACUUUUCCAACAUUGCUGCUCAGUGAGCUUUCAAAAAUGCCGAUCUAAUUAAUUCACUUUUUCGCUUAAAACCCUUCAGUGCAUCCAAGAUGACUUGAGAUAAAGACUAAAGUUCUUACCUGCCCUGGAGGCCUUGAGUGACAUGGCUCCUUUCCCCUCACCUGCCUGUGGAAGCCACUCUCUUCUGAGGGCUCUAGACGUCACCUGCAGUUGCUCUCUUAAUUCAUCAAAACAGAUGGUCUUCUUCCUGCCUCAGGGCCAUUGCUCCUGCUGUCCUCCUGCCUGAAUCAUCGCAGCAGACUGCCAGCCCUUCUGCUGUCUUUGGCUGCACACUUCUUUUGUUUGGCCAGCCAAGAGAUGACUGAAGUUUGAAUUUGAAUGCCUUAAAGCCAAUAGACUCCCUCCAGUGGGCCUUUAGUUCUAAUAUUUCUUGUUGUCUUACCCCUGUCAGAUGCACACAUUUUUGUUACCUGCCUGAUCUCUUAAAGGAAUUUGAGUUUGCAAUCUCUGGACUAAUUAAUUUCUACUAAUCAACCAGUAAAGCACAAAUGCCACCUCCUCAGGAAAGUUUUCACAGCCCCACCGGCAAAAAAUCCUGUACUUUCCCUUCCUAGCACUCAUCACAACAGCAAUUAAAUAACUAAUUGUGCUA